UACAGAGGGGGCUAGCGUUAUUCGGAAUUAUUGGGCGUAAAGGGCGCGUAGGCGGCCAUGCGUGCCUUCCGUGAAAUCCCUCGGCUUAACUGAGGACGUGCGGAAGAAACUGCAAGGCUCGAGUCCGGGAGAGGGGGGUGGAAUUCCCAGUGUAGCGGUGAAAUGCGUAGAUAUUGGGAGGAACACCGGUGGCGAAGGCGGCCCCCUGGACCGGUACUGACGCUGAGGCGCGAAAGCGUGGGUAGCAAACGGG
rnacentral:rRNA from 1 species